GGCUCAGGAUGAACGCUAGCUACAGGCUUAACACAUGCAAGUCGAGGGGCAGCAUGAACUUAGCUUGCUAAGUUUGAUGGCGACCGGCGCACGGGUGAGUAACACGUAUCCAACCUUCCGUACACUCAGGGAUAGCCUUUCGAAAAGAAAGAUUAAUACCUGAUGGUAUCUUAAGCACACAUGUAAUUAAGAUUAAAGAUUUAUCGGUGUACGAUGGGGAUGCGUUCCAUUAGGUAGUAGGCGGGGUAACGGCCCACCUAGCCAACGAUGGAUAGGGGGUUCUGAGAGGAAGGUCCCCCACAUUGGAACUGAGACACGGUCCAAACUCCUACGGGAGGCAGCAGUGAGGAAUAUUGGUCAAUGGACGAGAGUCUGAACCAGCCAAGUAGCGUGAAGGAUGAAGGUCCUACGGAUUGUAAACUUCUUUUAUAAGGGAAUAAACCCUCCCACGUGUGGGAGCUUGUAUGUACCUUAUGAAUAAGCAUCGGCUAACUCCGUG
rnacentral:rRNA from 1 species